UACGUAGGGUGCAAGCGUUAAUCGGAAUUACUGGGCGUAAAGCGUGCGCAGGCGGCGCCGCAAGUCAGGCGUGAAAUCCCCGAGCUUAACUUGGGAAUGGCGCUUGAAACUACGGUGCUGGAGUGUGGCAGAGGGAGGUGGAAUUCCACGUGUAGCGGUGAAAUGCGUAGAGAUGUGGAGGAACACCGAUGGCGAAGGCAGCCUCCUGGGCCAACACUGACGCUCAUGCACGGAAGCGUGGGGAGCAAACAGG
rnacentral:rRNA from 1 species